rnacentral:rRNA from 1 species
UACGGAGGGGACUAGCGUUGUUCGGAAUUACUGGGCGUAAAGCGCACGUAGGCGGAUUUGUAAGUCAGGGGUGAAAUCCCGAGGCUCAACCUCGGAACUGCCUUUGAUACUGCGAAUCUCGAGUCCGGAAGAGGUGAGUGGAAUUCCUAGUGUAGAGGUGAAAUUCGUAGAUAUUAGGAAGAACACCAGUGGCGAAGGCGGCCCACUGGUCCGGUACUGACGCUGAGGUGCGAAAGCGUGGGGAGCAAACAGG